ACUCCCUCCCUCUCGUAUCUAUAAAACGGGCAAGUGGGCAAGCACGCCACUACGGCGAUGGAGGCUUGUGAGGCCAUACGUUUGGAAGCCGGCCUUAUCGAGGCCCACGCUUACCUCUUCUCCCUCCUUCCUCCUCGUGUAUUUCUUCUCCCCGCUCCUCCUCCAGAGCGACAGCUUCUCAUCGAACUCUAGCUCGCCAAAGAACCCCAGCAGAGGCCGCCAUGGCCUCCGUUAUAGGCGUCUCGUCCCUCUACCGGAGCUCCACUUUAGAGCUCUCCAAGAGGGCGCUCCCGUACAUGUCCCACUCCUCCGAGAAGCCCCACUUCUGUGGCAUAGGGGCUUCCGCCAUUGGCCACGGCCAGGGGCUGCUGCUGUUCCCUGCGGAUCCUGUAGGGGCAAAAAUGUUACUAAUUG
rnacentral:lncRNA from 1 species